GACGAACGCUGGCGGCGUGCUUAACACAUGCAAGUCGAACGGAAAGGCCCUGCUUUUGUGGGCUGCUCGAGUGGCGAACGGGUGAGUAACACGUGAGUAACCUGCCCUUGACUUUGGGAUAACUUCAGGAAACGGGGGCUAAUACCGGAUAGGAGCUCAUGCUGCAUGGUGGGGGUUGGAAAGUUUCGGCGGUUGGGGAUGGACUCGCGGCUUAUCAGCUUGUUGGUGGGGUAGUGGCUUACCAAGGCUUUGGCGGGUAGCCGGCCUGAGAGGGUGACCGGCCACAUUGGGACUGAGAUACGGCCCAGACUGCUACGGGAGGCAGCAGUGGGAAAUAUUGCACAAUGGGCGGAAGCCGGAUGCAGCAACGCCGCGUGCGGGAUGACGGCCUUCGGGUUAUAAACCGCGUGCGCCUGUGACGAAGCGUGAGUGACGGUAAUGGGUAAAGAAGCACCGGCUAACUACGUG
rnacentral:rRNA from 1 species